rnacentral:tRNA from 1 species
GCGGGCGUGGUGGAAUCGGUAGACACAAGGGACUUAAAAUCCCUCGGCUUCGGCCAUGCGGGUUCGAGUCCCGCCGCCCGCACCA